UACCACAAUGGUCCCAUAAAAUUGUAAUGGAGCUGAAAAAUUCCUAUCACCUAGUGACGGCAGCCUUCCUAAUAUCCUACCUGCUGGUGGGAAAAAGAUUGAUCUGGACUCCACCACAACUUCAAAUUGAGGCGCACUCCCCAGGCUUAUGGAAACAAACACCAUCAAUGAACCUUCCCUCUGCUGGUCUUGGGAAACCUUGGCCUGCGUACGUGCAACCCAGCCCUCAGCCAUGGACUAAGGCUCAUCACACAGAUUCAGGGGUCACCUCUAUGCAGUUCUCUCCUGUUGGGGUCCUGCUCUGUGGAUUUCAGCCUCUUGAGAUGCUCCAAUGCUGAUCUCUGCCUCCACAGCUCAGCAAACAUCUUGCUUAGCGUGGACUCCGCCCCUUGUGCCAUGUUAAGAUGUGGUUCCAGGCAGAGAAUGGGAACAAGAGGCACAACUCGGAAUUUCUCCCUCUCGGGGACUGCGGUUCCCUCUACUUGUUGACCCAGGCUGCAUCAUUCAGUCCUAUUUUAUACUUGUUCUGGUGGGGACACAAGUGCGGUUCCAGGUUAAAAUAGAAUAAUUUUCCCACAUAUUAGCUCU
rnacentral:lncRNA from 1 species